CCCUUAUGAUGAUUACGCCACAUGUCUUACCUACUGUAUGGUGCCAGAGCCUGUAAAGGUUGAACCCACUGGUACCUUCAGUAGGAUAGGAAAGAUGAAAUGUUCCAGCAGGAACGGUCUGACAGGGC